UUCUUUCUACCGUGCAAGCAUUUACAUUUACAAUACUAAUUUUCUACAGCUUUCUAUUUUAUUAGCAACUUUUAUUUCCUUUUCUUUUCCAGUCAAGCUUUCAAGCAUUCAAUUAAUUUUUCACACAAUAGUUUCUACACCGGAAACUAUUGUGUAACUUUUACUGGAUCUAACCUUACGUUAGGUCAGAGUAUUUUAUUCCUUCGUUUUUAUUUUU
rnacentral:lncRNA from 1 species